CAUAGACGGAUAUAAGUGCAUUGACGACGCACUUAACUGACGCCAUGCCCGACUUCACAACAGCACAAUGCAGCUGCCCGCAGUGCAUUUCAUGAUCAGCUAUAAGGGCUAAAGCUGCAAGCACCGAGGUGUAGGUGUACUCAUCAGGCUGAAAACAUUUCCACCUCAUAUCAAGAAAUAGUUUUAUAGCAGCAUGGCAUCGUUGUUGUGUGAAUAGCCUGUAAUAUAGGUGUACUCAUCAGGCUGAAAACUUUUCCACCUCAUAUCAAGAAAUAGUUUUAGAGCAGCAUGGCCAUCAUUGUUGUGUGAAUAGCCUGUAAUCAUAGCGUUGUAGCAAACAGUGUCGCGGAUGCUUAAUGGGGUUUUAU
rnacentral:lncRNA from 1 species